rnacentral:lncRNA from 1 species
UGUGUUAAUUUUAUACCAGUGCUUGUGCUAAUUCAUGUUCUCCUCUGUAGGUCAGAGGUGAAACAGAGACUGUGGAUGUGACAGAGCAGGAUGGGAGUCAUACCAACACAGCUCCAGACCCCACCUGGCUGGAAAGCAAGCAAGAGGCGGUUGUGAAAGCAGAGAUACAGCAAUAUUAUGACACAAAGAAAAACUUGGAGGAAAAAGUCAAAGAAUUACGUAACACUAUCCAGGAAAUGAUGCGUGAAAAUGAGAACCUCCCAGAUGCUGAGCGUCUGGAACAACAGCAAUUCAAUCUAAAUGUGGAGGAACAGAGGAGGUCAGAGAUGAAGG